rnacentral:rRNA from 1 species
UACGUAGGUGGCGAGCGUUGUCCGGAUUUAUUGGGCGUAAAGCGCGCGCAGGCGGUGCGGUAAGUCUGUCGUGAAAUCUCCCGGCUCAACUGGGAGGGUGCGGUGGAGACUGCCGGGCUAGAGGCACUCAGAGGCCGGUGGAAUUCCCGGUGUAGUGGUGAAAUGCGCAGAUAUCAGGAGGAACACCGGUGGCGAAGGCGGGUCUCUGGGCCGAUACUGACGCUGAGGAGCGAAAGCGUGGGGAGCGAACAGG